rfam:Clostridium sp. CAG:242 genomic scaffold, scf82
GCCGCUGUGGUGGAAUAGGCAGACACAAGGGACUUAAAAUCCCUCGGAGUAAAAUCCGUACCGGUUCAAGUCCGGUCAGCGGCA